rnacentral:lncRNA from 10 species
AGAGGAGAGAAAGUGGAGUUUGAGUAUAAAUAACUCUUUUGGAGAGGAUUGGUGUAAUUGAAUGGCAGGGGUAUGAGAUUUGAGGUCAAGGAAAUAUUUUUAUUAUUUUUUACGAUGAGAGAAAUUGUAGUACACAUGUAUAUUUAUGGGAAUGACUCAGUAGAAAGACCAAAAAUUUCAUAUGUGAGAGAAGGACCAAUUGAUGAAGCGAUGUUCUUGCGUGGGCGCGAGGAUGGGAUCGAGUGCACAGCGGAAGGUGGCACUUAGGAACACGCAGCACUCGUCCAUGCCAGCAGGAGGCAAGGCAGAAUGGAAAUAAAACUUUAACCAAAAGAGCAUGGGCAGAUAUUUCCCGGAUCUGAACAGGAAUAGCUGGUGUCUGGACUCUAUGAAGAAUCUUCAUGUGCAGUGAUAGAAGAAUAAACACAUUUGCAGACUUUUGUAGUGCACAGUGACCGGUGACCAGCAGCAUGUGUUUCCAUAGGCAUCUUCUCUCAGUACCCCAGAAGGUGAAUUGCCAGUGAGUCCUGCCAGGAUGCCCCUCGGUGACUGCACCACCCAGUAA